rnacentral:rRNA from 1 species
CAUCUAGAUUAGAGUUUGAUCCUGGCUCAGAUUGAACGCUGGCGGCAGGCCUAACACAUGCAAGUCGAGCGGAUGAAGGGAGCUUGCUCCUGGAUUCAGCGGCGGACGGGUGAGUAAUGCCUAGGAAUCUGCCUGGUAGUGGGGGAUAACGUCCGGAAACGGGCGCUAAUACCGCAUACGUCCUGAGGGAGAAAGUGGGGGAUCUUCGGACCUCACGCUAUCAGAUGAGCCUAGGUCGGAUUAGCUAGUUGGUGGGGUAAAGGCCUACCAAGGCGACGAUCCGUAACUGGUCUGAGAGGAUGAUCAGUCACACUGGAACUGAGACACGGUCCAGACUCCUACGGGAGGCAGCAGUGGGGAAUAUUGGACAAUGGGCGAAAGCCUGAUCCAGCCAUGCCGCGUGUGUGAAGAAGGUCUUCGGAUUGUAAAGCACUUUAAGUUGGGAGGAAGGGCAGUAAGUUAAUACCUUGCUGUUUUGACGUUACCAACAGAAUAAGCACCGGCUAACUUCGUGCCAGCAGCCGCGGUAAUACGAAGGGUGCAAGCGUUAAUCGGAAUUACUGGGCGUAAAGCGCGCGUAGGUGGUUCAGCAAGUUGGAUGUGAAAUCCCCGGGCUCAACCUGGGAACUGCAUCCAAAACUACUGAGCUAGAGUACGGUAGAGGGUGGUGGAAUUUCCUGUGUAGCGGUGAAAUGCGUAGAUAUAGGAAGGAACACCAGUGGCGAAGGCGACCACCUGGACUGAUACUGACACUGAGGUGCGAAAGCGUGGGGAGCAAACAGGAUUAGAUACCCUGGUAGUCCACGCCGUAAACGAUGUCGACUAGCCGUUGGGAUCCUUGAGAUCUUAGUGGCGCAGCUAACGCGAUAAGUCGACCGCCUGGGGAGUACGGCCGCAAGGUUAAAACUCAAAUGAAUUGACGGGGGCCCGCACAAGCGGUGG